AAGUCGUAACAAGGUUUCCGUAGGUGAACCUGCGGAAGGAUCAUUAACUAAUAUGAUAUAUUCCUUUGUGAAUUUAAAGCAAGAGAAAAAAGCUUUUUUCUCUUACUUUACUUAUAUGCAUUAGUGGGAUUAAAUUGAAAAAUAAAACAAUUUUUAACAAUGGAUCUCUAGGCUCUU
rnacentral:misc_RNA from 1 species